rnacentral:rRNA from 1 species
CAAUAGCGUAUAUUUAAGUUGUUGCAGUUAAAAAGCUCGUAGUUGGAUUUCGGGUGGGCCGCAGCGGUCUCGCAUUGCGUUUGUACUGCUGCAGCCCUCCUUCUUGCCGGGGGCGGCCUCUCGGACUUCACUGUCUGGGGGUCAGAAUCGGCGAUGUUACUUUGAGUAAAUUAGAGUGUUCAAAGCAAGCUUACGCUCUGAAUAUAAUAGCAUGGGAUAACACGACAGGACUCUGGCCUAUCGUGUUGGUCUAUAGGACCAGAGUAAUGAUUAAGAGGGACAGUCGGGGGCAUUCGUAUUCCGUUGUCAGAGGUGAAAUUCUUGGAUUUACGGAAGACGAACAUCUGCGAAAGCAUUUGCCAAGGAUGUUUUCAUUGA